UUCAAGUUUUCACUUCUGCCGGCACUUCCGAAGUGCUACCCGUAUUUUUUUUAUAUAUUUAUUUCAAGAGCCGGCCUAGAUAGAGCGGGGUAGGGCGUCAAAUGGAGGAUUUAUUCAAAUCAAGUUGGAGCCAUCAAAGAGAUUUGUAGCUGACGACGACAGAUACUGAAACUGAAUAUCCACAACCAGAGAACUGUAGUUGUGUAUGAUGAAAUUGAAGAAACAAAAGUCGGCUAGCCAGCUGACGAGUGUAUCGCAAUACUUUGAGCGGCGUGUCAAUAGCAGAGCCGACAGCUAUCUCACAAGCGGCUUUGAUACACGGACAGUGAUGAUUGUGGGCCCCUUCCUGUCCCCCCGUCCCCCGUCACACCGCUUGCAGUGAACAAAGCGAGCCAACACCUAAUGAGAGGCUUUCGAAGCUGUGUGCUACGAGGUUGUGGCUGCAUCUACAGGAUCUACUUUACAGUUCAUAACCUGCUCAACCCCAGUAUUUGCAGUUGAGAUGUCGCUCUUGCAAAUCUUAAUAAUUUGUAAUGUUUUUUUUUAAAGUUUCAAAGUUUAACACUUUUU